AAACUAAAAUACGCUGUUCUGGUUGAAGAUCAGGUGCAAUUUGAAAGUGUUCAUGGUGGUCUUCUGAGCUGUGAUACCACUGUUAGCUGGUCUAAUGCAGUUAAUAUGAGUGCUCCGCCAGUGGUAUCAAUGUUUAAGAGGAACAUACUGCACCCAUCUUCAACCUACAAGUCUACAUGGCAUCAUGACCCAGAUCAACGUGGACGUCUUCACCAUUGUGAUGUCCUCAGGUUCCAAAAUUUUAUAUUUUGCCUUCAAAAUGUUUAACAAUUAUUUUUAAAACUCAUCACACAAGGACUUUUAAAGACAUGGACCUCCAGUUUACUGCAUAAUUAACUCAGAUGAGGAAGAUUAAAAAUCUUACUUUCAAAUACUGUGUGAAUUGUAAGUUACGUUUCAUUUUACCUAAAAUUGGCACAGAAUAAAAUAUUUUUGGUGUGAAAAUCAA